CGUAGGGUGCGAGCGUUGUCCGGAAUUACUGGGCGUAAAGAGCUCGUAGGUGGCUUCGUAAGUCCGUUGUGAAAGUCAAAGGCUCAACCUUUGAAAGCCGAUGGAUACUGCGGAGCUAGAGUACGGAAGAGGCGAGUGGAAUUCCUGGUGUAGCGGUGGAAUGCGCAGAUAUCAGGAGGAACACCAAUAGCGAAGGCAGCUCGCUGGGACGUUACUGACACUGAGGCGCGAAAGCGUGGGGAGCGAACAGG
rnacentral:rRNA from 1 species